AUGGCUGCUCAGGUAGGCGUACGGGCCAAAGAUGGCGAAGACGAAAGUGGUCGAGAAGGACCGCACGACGCCGGUGCCGUUCGCCUCGGUGUGGAACGGCAGCGGGGACGGGUGGAAGGCCUGGCCUUUCGUCUGAAGGGUGCCAUCGGUCAGCAUGAGGAGGCCGUUCGGCAUGACGGUGGCCCCGCCAUUGAGCGUCAGGUUCGCACCCACGAAGCCGUUGUACGUGAACUGCCGACCGUCAUCGCCGCUGCUGCUUCCACCACCGGUGGCGGGGUGGCAGCGAUCGGCGGCCACCAGGAGCAGGAGCAGAGUGACCAAGUGGUGAAGCUGGACAAACAUAGCUCUCCUACCACUUUGCAGGACGAGCCAGUGGGCUGUGGUGCAGGAAACAGUGAAACACACUCUCUUUGGUUAUAG
rnacentral:rRNA from 1 species